GGCCCUGUGGCCUAGCGGAUUAAGGCGCCUGACUUCGGAUCAGGAGAUCGGGGGUUCGAUUCCCUCCAGGGUCU
rnacentral:tRNA from 1 species